rnacentral:lncRNA from 1 species
ACAAUGUCCUCCUAUUCAAAGCUUUCCGAAGGCUAUUUGUCCAGGCACACCCCGCCACCCCCGGGGAUAAUGAAAUAUAUUGGCAAUCUCUCUUCGAUGUUUAAAACCCCUCUCUCCGUGAAGGAGUAAGAUCUGAGUAAGGCAGUCUUUUGUAUAGGGGUAGACACAUUGCUGUUCAGUCACAGCCACAGCAAAAUCCUGAUUAUCUCAGUUGCUAUCUAUUUGUUACUGCAUAUUGGAAGGUGAAAAUAUGGCUUCGGUCCACUUAUUUUUGCAACCUUCAAUGGCGACAAGCUCUAAGUCUUAAAGAGGCCUGGUGCAAAUUUACUCCUGGGGGAACAGCAAUUUCAUGUACUCAAAAGCGUAGCAAUAAACCCAUUGAUGUAAUUCUCGCGACUAGUUUAGAUUUCUGUUUCAAAAGGGCAGAAGCAAAGCAAGCCAACAUUUCCACAAAUUAGCUUAUUUCAAGAAUUUGAAGAGAAAGGUUUGCUACCUGCAGAUGGGAUAUAUCUUUGUAUUGUAUUCUUAUUUUUGCUUUUAUGCUGUCUAGCUUAGUCAUCUAUGUUUUAAUAUAAUAGAGUUUUGCAUACAGACAGGGAUAUUGAGAGGUUACUGCAUAGUGUGAUCUGAAAGCAAGGGCUUAAAUGGUAUUUGUGCCUCCCACAGGGCAAGAGAUUAAUGUGUGUCGGUGCUCAUUUUCCUAAUUUUAGAAAGUAUUCUAACAGGACCUCCAAAAGCAGUUCUGUCUCCCCCGAGUAAGGAAAAAGAUUUUGAUACUUAAAUGUUUGUGGUCCUAAUCAGUUUGUGGGAUGUAAAAUUAGGGCUUUCCCUUCCUGGCCCAACAGAUGUAUCCUAGUCAGGAGAGUCACUUCUAUGAGAACCUAUAAGCUUUUGUGGCAGAAGGUAUUUACAGAAAUAAGCUAUAUUGCGGGUCAAUGUGGAAUGUACCACAAGUUUUGGACUGUUAACCAUUUUAAAAGAAUGUACCACAAUCUGGCUUUGUUGUAAAGAACUAAUUAUUUUUCUUUCGCAGUGGCGUGUCUACUAGUGUCACAGAAUUGGAAAGGAUUGAAACAUCUGUGUAUCUCCAGUUGGAAACAGAAUGGAUGGUCUAUUGCUGCACCAGAGAAAUUAACAAAGAGAUUACAUGCACUGAAUAAUACAAAUGAUGUAGACGAUUUUGUUGAAAUAUGUCAUCCUUUUGUCAAAUAUUAUAAGACUUUAAAUUAUUUCUAAAUCUGCAUCUAUAUGCCAUGGUGUAUUUGUAACAGCGAAACCAGAGGCCUUCAUCUCUCCCCGCUGCCAUAAAACUUGCCUCUCUCAUAUUGGUCUCUACAGCAACAGCAGGGGCUGUAACUCUAGUGGCUCAUUCUUCCAUUGUCUCAAGACUGAUGGAUGCCAACAAAAUAUGCAUGAUAUAUGCAAAUACGCAUUAUAUGCAAAUUUCAUGCAUAUCUGUAUCAUCCCUCUAUGGCCCUCUAGUUGUUGGACUCCAACUCCCAUCGGCUCCAGUCAGCAUGGCUAAAGAUCAAGCUUGAUGGGAACUGUAGGCCAACAACAUCUGGAGGCCCACAUGUUCCCCACCCAUGCCCCAAAGUGACCAGAGGAUAAUGGCCCUCUAAGAUAAUAAAUUUUGAUCUAGCUUGUUUUCCCACAGCAUAGUUUUCACUAAGGUGGUGACUCUUGCUUGUACUACUUUCAACUGUGGGCAGCCGUUUGUGGGAUUGCUCUUGCAAGUAAACAAAUAAAUCCCUGUUAGCAGAAGACCAGAUGCAGAUGAGGAACUUCUUCCUGACAGUCUAGCUUUCAGUAUCUGAUAUUAUCUAAUAUGCCUGUUUGAUCUGCAAAUAUUGGUAUGAGUUUGGGGGUGCCAGUCUCCCCUAAAUUCCUGGACCCAGUAAGUGUUAGAAAUUAAUCAAGCCUCCUGAACCCCUGGAUCUAUCAAGAGUUAAAAUAUAAGCCAGACUAGCUUUCUUAUGAGGUAAUCACCUGGGAGAUGAGCCAUUAAGAGAAAACAAAGGGGAAGGUGAUGGAUCGCUAAGAUAGCAAGAGAGGGGAGUCUGUGCCAGAGGGAAAAUGGGUGAGGCCCCCUCCUCCAGCUCUAGAUAGUUAGAAGGCCAGAGUUUUGAAACAGAGUGUAAACUUGACUGUGAUGUGAUCCAAAAGGAAAAAGGUUGCAGGCAGUAAAAGACUGAGGCAGAGCACAACGUUUGCUUUCUGCUGUGAUCCAAGACUACAGCUGCGGGAGAAACAAGUUCCUUUUGCGGUGUUUAUGCAGUGAGCCCCUCCAUCGUAGGCUCAGGUUGUAUAUAUGUGUAAAUAAACCAUAUAUUAUGAAGACACCACAGUCUCCGCUGUGCCUCAUUUCCAAAAGGAAACACGGACCCUGGGUAAGGGUGCCUUGAACCCCUGAAAUCUUGCACUGUUCGGAGAUUGGAGUGGCAUGCAAUUAUAUAUUUGUUUUGAAAAUGUUAUUUUUUCUCCCUGAGUCUUUAGAAUGAGAAGAGCUAAGCUUAAAAAUUAAUAAAUAAGAGCUUAGAUGAAAUGCAAAGCUAAGAGGAAAUUUCCUAGGCUAUUAUAUAUUUUUAAAUAAAUUUAUGUUGUCUGGAGAAACAGCCAAGUGUCAGGUAGUUCCCAAAAGGUGUUUUCCUCUCUACCACCAGUAUAAACACUCUGGAUUGUAUACUUUGAAGUCAGAUUAGCACGUUAAGCCUAUCAUUCCAAUGAAGAUGUGACAUUGUAUGUAUUUAUGUCAAAACAACCUGUCAUCUGUGUUUUGGCAUGUCUGAAUAGAGAAAAGGGGGGGAGGGAUAUGAAAUCGAGACUUGGGAUUUGUACAGCUAAACAAAAUAAUUAAUUUUAAUAAGGGAUUUGGGCAAUUGUAUUUACCCCUGAAUGGGAGCGUUUUUGUUUGGUUUGCUAAUCCUGUUGUAAACAGUUCAGUGAACAGCUAUGCGAUUGCUUUUAUCUGGUUGUUUUACUUGUUCUUUUUGUAGUUUUGUUGCAAAUGUGUGCUACUUUCAGUUCAGGUGCAAGAUUGUUAUGCUAUGAGAUAGAAAGAAAGAUAAUCACUGUUGGCAGUGACCUGAUGGGUAGCGCCGACUUAUUGUAUCUGUGGCUUGCAUAACAUUUGGUGUUGUGUGUAAUGUAUAUUAUCCUUGAGCAAUAAUUGAGCUGUGCUGCCUUCUGCCCUUAAUUGCUGGACUGGGCCAUCAGUGAGUAGGUGGGUCUUGGCAAAACCAAAGAUGGGAAAUAAAUGACCACAUUUUUAAACAGCAGCCCAAUGUUUUGCUGCCCUUAAUUAUGGGCUUUUCUUGAAAGUCCUGUAUGACUCAGAGCUUGGAG